rnacentral:rRNA from 1 species
UACGUAGGGUGCAAGCGUUAAUCGGAAUUACUGGGCGUAAAGCGUGCGCAGGCGGUUAUGUAAGACAGGUGUGAAAUCCCCGGGCUCAACCUGGGAACUGCAUUUGUGACUGCAUAGCUGGAGUGCGGCAGAGGGGGAUGGAAUUCCGCGUGUAGCAGUGAAAUGCGUAGAUAUGCGGAGGAACACCGAUGGCGAAGGCAAUCCCCUGGGCCUGCACUGACGCUCAUGCACGAAAGCGUGGGGAGCAAACAGG